rnacentral:rRNA from 1 species
GGGAUCUUGCGACAAUGGGCGAAAGCCUGACGCAGCAACGCCGCGUGCGGGAUGACGGCCUUCGGGUUGUAAACCGCUUUUCGGGGGGAAGAGGAAGGACGGUACCCCCGGAAGAAGUCUCGGCUAACUACGUGCCAGCAGCCGCGGUAAAACGUAGGAGGCGAGCGUUAUCCGGAUUUAUUGGGCGUAAAGGGCGUGUAGGCGGUUUUUUAAGUCAGGGGUGAAACCCCGGGGCUCAACCCCGGGCCUGCCUCUGAAACUGGGAGACUUGAGUACCCUAGAGGACAGUGGAAUUGCCGGUGUAGCAGUGAAAUGCGUAGAGAUCGGCAGGAACACCAGUGGCGAAGGCGACUGUCUGGGGGGAAACUGACGCUGAGGCGCGAAAGCUGGGGGAGCAAA